GUCACGCGCGUCAAUACCGAGAAGCGCCGUCCACAGCCUACUUAUCGUGUGGUGUUUUGCGAAGUUAACGUGCCCCUUACGUUUCGAAAAUUUGUCGUGUUUUCGCCCGGACCGUCGGAUAGAUUCGCACCAUGUCGGCAGGAGACUCGUUGGGGGCAGGCGGCGGGGCGGCGGGCGGCGAUGACGGCAUCGUGGGCGGCCCCAGGACGCCCCAACAGGUGGCCGCCCAAAAGCGACUGCAGCAGACUCAGGCCCAGGUCGACGAAGUGGUCGACAUCAUGAAAACGAACGUGGAGAAAGUGCUAGAAAGAGAUCAGAAGCUGUCCGAAUUGGACGACAGGGCGGAUGCCCUACAACAGGGCGCAUCACAGUUCGAACAGCAGGCGGGAAAACUAAAAAGGAAAUUUUGGUUACAAAAUCUAAAGAUGAUGAUUAUUAUGGGUGUUAUUGGACUGGUAAUUUUAAUCAUCAUAGUCAUGAACUUCAUGUAAUUGUCAGUGGCGUUCGGGCCGAAAAGAAAUCGGUAAAUUUGAAUGAUAUACGUAUUCGUCGCAAUUGGCCAAAACUGAACAAAAAAAAAUCUACCGUAACAUAAACAAAUGCACACUGGAAAAACUAACGCAUAUAGACAAGGAAGUCAAAAAUACAGAAAAUAGAUAAAAAAUAAUUAGGUACGUUAAAAGCGUGGCAUGUACUCCGUUUACAUACCUGUAAAAAAAUUAUAUAGGAGCAGAGCUUAACAUUUUUGAAAUAGAAAACGAAAUACACCAAAUGUCGCCAUUGACGAAAUAUGUUUCAAUUUUAGAUCAAAGCGUGCGGUGGUCCGUUUGUUAUGGAACCUGUAAUGUUUUUUUAUUUCAAAUACUUGUGGGAAGCAUUUUUGAAAUUCUCGAAGUCUCACCGUCAUAGACAAGUCCAAUGUCACUGUUACCAAUGAUAAAUUUUAGCAAAUUUUGGAUGUCACCAAAGUUUUUAAAAAUUCGCCUUUAUUUUGUUAAAAUUAACAUUUUUUUUAUAAAAAAAAUAUUAAAAAGUUCAUGCGGUUUUGAUAUUUUAAAAUCAAAUUGAAAAUUAAAAUUCAAAACUCCUAAAUGUUCUCGUUUCGCGGUAUAGUACGGUGAAUUACAAAUGAUUCCAAACAAAAAGUAUUUUUGUUAUUUUUACACACAAUAAACGGGCCACCUUGUACAUCAUUUUGAGUAAACAAUAAUGUCAAAAUUGAAACAUUAUUUUAGCUGCAAUUUCUGAAAGAUCGCAUUUUCUCUCGAAAUUCGAAACUCCUUGUUUUGCUAAUCGCUCAGUACGAUUUUUCCGAUUUGUUUCCUUCUUAGGAGCGUCUCGUAUCAAUAAAUAGCGAAUAUACGAAAAAACCUUUAGACUAUACUCGUGACUUGCCCCUGUACAUUUAUAUAAAGGUACCGAAGUGCAGGGUGAUCGGUUUACUUUACCUCUAAAUAUAAAAACAAGUUUGCGUAAAAUAAAAUGAUCUUCAAUUGUUUCGUGUUAUUUCAAUUGUCACUCAAAUGCGUACAGAGUGCUACCCGAUAUUUCGCAAAAUAUCACUUCUCUCGCUUUUUUUAAAUCAAACACCCUGUAUAUUCUUGCACUUACGGCUUAAAGGACGAAUCCAACGAUAUAACGUUGGUCUGCGAUACGCCGUUUCGAAUUUAUUGACGAUUUUUAUCAAUUCCGCAAUUGAAGCUUAAUUCUGAAAGCGUCUCUAAUAUUUUUUUUAUGAAAUUGCCGUAUCGAUAAUAUUGAUGAUAUCGAUAAUAUUGAUUUUAAAUACUGAUAGAUUAUUUUAUUUUUAAAUUUAAAUUAAAUUUUAUAUGAAAUUUUCUACACUUUUGAAUAAUGCAAUUGGUAUAUACCGGGUGACGCAAGAAAGUGGGAACACUAAGAUAAGUAAAUACCCUUUUAUAAACACAAAAUAUUGCUUAGGUGGCUUUGCUUCUAUUCAUUGUUAAUUGUCAAGUCGGUAAGAUUAAAAAUGUAGAAGAAUCUCUCGACAAGCUGAUGCAAGAUGUAAGAGAAACCACAGAUUAGUAUGUAAAAAAAAUAAAAUAAAAUUCAAGGGAGAGUUUCUUCUGAGAUUCAACGAUUAGAAUUUUUUGUUGAAAGUGUUUAUACAGUCAGAAACUAACGCAAGUAUUGUAUGUAUAUAUGUAUUCAUAAGCUACAAGCAAUUUUUACCGGAAACUCAGAAGAACAAGAGAAUACAAAUAUUUUUCUCUUUUCAAAUCUGUCACUUUUUGGGAUAAUUCAACACAAUAUUUUGAAAAUCUGUUAGAAAAUAAAACCUCAACAAUGUGGGAGUUUUGUUUGUUUUAUUUGAAUUAAAUAAGUGCGAUAGAUAUUUACUUAAUAACCAAUUUAUUUUAAGAUGAAACUUUCAUAGAAUGUUUUCAAAAUGUCCUCCUUCUUGUAUGCGACACUCCGUAGCUCUACAUUCGCCGUAACCCUUCCUAACAUUUAUUAGAUAAAAUUGUACAAACUGUCAGAAUUUUCAAUCAUGCCGACUUGAUGAUGAAUAGAAGCAAAGCCACCUAAGUAAUAUUUUGUUUUUAUAAAAAUAUGUAUACUUAUAUGGUUUUUUCCAUCCUGUCAGUUUAUUUUUUAACGGAUUUUGAAAAUUUUGGUAUCAAAAUGUUGCACAAAAAGUACCGGUUUUAAAAAGUUUUUGUUCCCAAUGCGGGUUAUCCAAAAAAAUUAAUAGUUCAUUACAUUAAAUACUACCUCCUAGCCUCCUAGACACAAUUUCCAAAAAUUUAAUAAAAAAUUUAAAAAGCAAAAAAAUAUGAGAAAAUCUAUCUUAUCCUACAUCGAAUGAUCGCCUGAAUCCAAAAAUGCAAAAAAAAUAUAGGUUGUGCCGUCUAAAAUUCGAACGUUACUGCCGUUUCCGCUCAAACCAUUGACUACAUAUUGUAAAAAAUUGAACAUUCAACCUAUAUUAACCGUUCCCACUUUCUUGUGUCACCCGGUAUAUUACCUCCAAAUGAUUUACGGCAUUUAAUUUAUAAUUGUUCGCAUUUAAUUGAAUGAUUGCAUCCCGAAUUUGUUAUUAUAAUGCAAAAACUUCUAAGGGCUUAUUUUUUUACACUAUCUCUUUUAAAGUGUCCCACAGAGGCCAGUGGGUUUAAAUCCGGACUCCCUGCUGGCCAGAUGUGUCAUUUUGUCCAAUCCAUUGUCCAAAACUUCCAUUUAAAAAUUCACUGAUAUAUAAUUCCGAGUAACAGAUCUUCUACCUUGUUUAUGUUGUAAAUAUCAAUGCAUGAUCGAAUUAAAAUUAAUUAAAUUAAUUAAUGACAUUUAGAUUCCAAUAUUUUUAUAUUUUACGAUAUUUGAAAUAGAUUUCAUAAAAGGAAUAUAAAAAUAAGAAUAGCUAAGAAAUUGAUAAAAUCGUCAAUAAAUUCGAGACCUUGCGUCGCGGGUCAAUGUUGGCGUAUAUCGUUGGAUCCUUUUUUUAAAGGGCUUUCCGAAAAUGCAUCGAGGGCGUUUGGUUUACGAAAAUUGCGAGAAGUCACAUUUUGCGAAACAUCGACAAUAUAAAAAGUAUUAUUUUGUAAAAUAUGUUACGCGGAAAGGUGUUUUAAAGGUUAGUGUGAGACGCAACAAAAACCUUUCCGACAUAACCUGAAUCCUCAAGAUACUUUCAACACCGAUAUUUAUACACAGGGGGUUUUCUAAUUCGAUCUAAUCGAUCUUAACGUCUUAACUUUUGAAAUACAGGAAGGUAAAAGUUUCAAAAAUAAAAUAUUUUCUUAAAUAUCAGCAAUACCACUGUAGAUAUUUUAGUGAAAUUUGAUACACAUGUACUAUAUAUAUCAGGAGGCAUUAUUUUGUGUGCCACAACUUUUUUUUAAUACACCAAAGGCGGGCGUACGUAAUUUAACUCGAUUUCAUUAUUAUUUCUUACGUAAGUAAUUGUCUGUAUGGUUUAUUAAAAUACGAAGGACGUAAACUCAAAUACAUUUAAAUAAGAAUCGUUAAUUAUUUAUCAAAACUGUAAAAGAAAAAAAAACAGUCGUCUAGUAUUUUUUUUUUGAAGGACACUAAAGGUUGGUAACUAAAAACUAGAUAUUUUGUUUUAAAUAGGUAAUUUAUAUCUCACAAAAAAAGUUCUCGAUUUGACCAGUACAAUUAACCAAAAUAUUAUUUGCUCAUAGACAGUCAGUGGAACGCCACUGAUUUCUUGUGGUUUUUAUUUUUUUCAGCUGAAACCGUAUAUAGGAUUGAAAAAAGUGAAGAAAUUAAAUUUAUUUAGAAAUGAUCAUAGAUGGUAAGGAUAAUUUUUAUUUUAGGAGAAAUCAGUGGCGUACCAUCAAUGUCUGCCAAAAUAGACUGGUGAAAUUCCGUACGCCAGCCAGUGGUGUAUUUUGCAAAAAUUGUGGUACACUAAAUAUAUGCCUCUUGAUACAUAGUACAUGUGUGCCAAAUUUCACUGAAAUGCCUAAAGCGGUAUUACAGAUAUAAAAAAAAUAUAUUUUCGUUUUGAAAACUUUAACACCCUGUAUCUCAAAAGUGAGGACGUUCAGGACAUACGUUCAUAUGAAGUUUCCUUUUUAAAAUGCACCCAAAAAUCGCCCCUCUUAUUAGAGAACACUCUGUAUAUCGUCGGAUCCGUCAUUUAAACGGGUAUUUAAAAAUUUAAUAAAAUAUUUGUUAAAAAACGUUUUAAACCCUGUAUGUAAAUGGGUGACAAUUGAAAUAAUACAAAAACAUUAAGGAUCGUUUUACUAGAGACAACUUUUAUAUUUAACCUUGGGCCACCCUGUACGUUCAUUACAAAUGCCGAUACAACUAAAAAUGUCAGGUCGUCGAUGAACAAUCGACCCGCUAGAUUGCGGACACUUUGUAUAGCCGGACAUCAACGUUUUUCCGUUGUAUAAUUGAAAACAAAUUGAAAUUGUUUAUAUGUGUCUCUUAGUCAAUAUUAAAAAUGUAUAAAUAAAUUAACUUGAAAAUU